rnacentral:rRNA from 1 species
AUUGAACGCUGGCGGCAUGCCUUACACAUGCAAGUCGAACGGUAACAGGUCUUCGGAUGCUGACGAGUGGCGAACGGGUGAGUAAUACAUCGGAACGUGCCUAGUAGUGGGGGAUAACUACUCGAAAGAGUGGCUAAUACCGCAUGAGAUCUACGGAUGAAAGCAGGGGAUCGCAAGACCUUGUGCUACUAGAGCGGCCGAUGGCAGAUUAGGUAGUUGGUGGCAUAAAAGCUUACCAAGCCGACGAUCUGUAGCUGGUCUGAGAGGACGAUCAGCCACACUGGGACUGAGAAACGGCCCAGACUCCUACGGGAGUCAGCAGUGGGGAAUUUUGGACGAUGGGCGAAAGCCUGAUCCAGCAAUGCCGCGUGCAGGAUGAAGGCCUUCGGGUUGUAAACUGCUUUUGUACGGAACGAAAAGCCCCGGGUUAAUACCCUGGGGUCAUGACGGUACCGUAAGAAUAAGCACCGGCUAACUACGUGCCAGCCGCCGCCGUAA